GCUGGGUGUGUGAUCCCAGUGCCUGUAGUCCCAACUACUGGGGAGGCUGAGGCAGGAGGAUCGUUUGAGGUCAGGAGUUCUGGGCUGAAGUGUACUAUGCUGAUCUGGUGUGUACACUAAGUUCAGCAUCAAAUAUGGUGACCUCCCGGGAGCAGGUUGCCUAAGGAGGGGUGAACCCGCCCAGGUUGGAAAUGGUGCAGGUCAAAACACCUGUGCUGGUCAGUGAUGGGAUCAUGCCUGUGAAUAGUCACUGUACUCCAGCCUGGGCAACAUAGUGAGACCCCAUCUCAA
ensembl:misc_RNA Metazoa_SRP Metazoan signal recognition particle RNA